rnacentral:rRNA from 1 species
UACGGGGGGAGCAAGCGUUGUUCGGAUUUACUGGGCGUAAAGGGCGCGUAGGCGGCGCAACAAGUCACUUGUGAAAUCUCCGGGCUUAACCCGGAGCGGCCAAGUGAUACUGUCGUGCUAGAGUGCGGAAGGGGCUACUGGAAUUCUCGGUGUAGCGGUGAAAUGCGUAGAUAUCGAGAGGAACACCUGCGGCGAAGGCGGGUAGCUGGGCCGACACUGACGCUGAGGCGCGAAAGCGUGGGGAGCAAACAGG